GUGCCUCUUGUAAAGCAUCUUCUUCUUCUUUGGACUCUGGUUCAUCAUAACCAUAGUGUACAAUCUCCAAACACUCUUGUGAACCAAGAAAUGCCUUUAAUCUGAUGCACCAACUAUCAUAGUUGUCUUUGGUCAGCUUCGGGAUGAGUGUUUGUGUACUUUCUGUAGUCAUUUUGCUCUUGGAAUGACUAUAUCUCCUUCUGGGAGUUGAAUUUGGCAAAACGGACACUGUAGAUCGAUCCGGAAUGGUCGAAAUAGUCGGGAACCGGUCUGACUUUGUAGAAAUCAGGUCCGAAAAUGGUUGAACCGGUCAAAAAACCAAUUCUGGG
rnacentral:lncRNA from 1 species